UAGAGGAAGUAAAAGUCGUAACAAGGUUUCUGUAGGUGAACCUGCAGAAGGAUCAUUAGUGAAGAUUUGGGCAGGCCAUACGGACGCCAAAAAGUGUCCCUGGCCGCCUACACCCACUAUACAUCCACAAACCCGUGUGCACUGUCUUGGAGAAAGGCUUCAGAGAAGUUUUUUGUGGCCUCUCUUGGGGUCUUUCUUCGCUACAAACUCGAAUGGUUAGUAUGAACGUGGAACUUGGUUGGACCGUCACUGGCCAACAAACUAUACACAACUUUCGACAACGGAUCUCUUGGUUCUCCCAUCGAUGAAGAACGCAGCGAAACGCGAUAGGUAAUGUGAAUUGCAGAAUUCCGUGAAUCAUCGAAUCUUUGAACGCACCUUGCGCUCUAUGGCAAUCCGUAGAGCAUGCCUGUUUGAGUGCCAUGAAAUCUCCCACCCCAAGCGGUUUUUAAAUGAAACGGCUUGGCGGAUGGGGUCUGGAUGGGUGCCUCUGCCUGCGCUACCUAGCACAGGCUCGCCCGAAAUGCAUGAGCGCCUUGAGACACUUUGCAUCCGCCUCUCUGUUUGGGAGGAGGCGGCCAAGCAGUGUUUUUCUCCUGGCAUGGCAUGAUACGUCAUUUGCUAUGUCGCCUAAAGGAGGAAUGUUUGGUUGUGUCUGCGUGUGCUUCGAACUUGCCUCUGUGGCACAUCCCAAUUUCACUUCUGGUCUCAAAUCAGGUAGGAUCACCCGCUGAACUUAAGCAUAUCAAUA
rnacentral:rRNA from 1 species